GUGGAUCUGUUCCCGGAGCGAGCAUGCUCACAACCAGCCGACUCUCCCAUUAUCCCACUGCCUAGUUUGGUGCUCCCGUGUACAUGGCUAUUCUGUGUGCAUAUGUGUGUGUACAAACACGCAUGCAUGCCUGGAUGGACAGACGUAUGCAGAGGUUAUUUUUUAAGGGCAAUUCUUUCAAUAAGGUCUUUACCCCUUACUUGAAACAGGUGUUCAUGAAAAAAAUGCACAAAAUCCUGACUGGCCGGAAUAAUUCAUGAAGAAAGGGCUGGAUCCGUGGGGUCAGAGAACACAGGACCAGGUUGCCACCCCAAGGCCGAAGUCUGGUGACUCGGAUUUGGCCCUGCGUUGCCCACUCCUGCUGCAUCUUACCCAGUCGAGGGAUGAAAGGUCUUGGCACCUUCCUGAAGCAUGAGAAGAAAGGAGGUUCUGAAAGCACAGAUCCAAGACCACCAGAGGCCGAAGACACCGAUCCCUGGAGGGGCCACUCACACACCGCCAGGAGCCAAGGAGAGCUGGACCUGGAGGAACAUGGACCCAACAAGGAUGGAAAUACCAGCAAUCCCAAAGGUCAUCUACAUCUGUGCCCAGGGAGCUAUGUGGGGCCCACUGAGUGGAAGAUAAUGCAGCGGCUGCUCUGUCACUUUGCAACUGCAGAAGCUGGAACAAGGGCCCAAGAAGCCAAAGAAGCCACACGAGUCCAGUUCCAAAGCUGUCUGAAUGACCCUGAGAGAACUGCCUACCAAAUUAUGACCAGUUGUGCCAACAGACGUUGA
rnacentral:lncRNA from 1 species